rnacentral:lncRNA from 1 species
CAGCCAUGGAUUCCACCCACACUCAAGGAAGGGGAUCACACAGCAGCAUGAACACCAGGAGAGAGGAUCAUGAGGCCACCUUACAGUCUGUCUUCCACAAGGACUCAUCACCUAGGGAUAUAUGCCCUUGAAACAAAUGGAAAUAGACUCCCACAGGCUGAGGACAAAAGCACAGGAUCAACUAAGAUGCUAUCCAGGUGAAAGUGGAUGAGGUCAGACUUCAUGGGUCCAAGAAUUAAGGGGUAAAAGAAGGAUUGGCCCUUUCAACAUCACUCACAGUGACUCACCAAUCUUGCAAGUCUAAGCUCCAAUGGAUAGAAAAUUCUUGUUCUCAGCAGAACAUUGCUUCAACCUGGGCACAGUAAGAUGUCCAUGGAAACUAAAGCAAGUCUGAAGCCUGGACAAUUUGGUCUCUUCAAGAGGAGAUAACAGCAGGCAAAAGAAGUUUCUAUAUGAACAUGGGAAAUCAAUUCUAUUAUCAUGAACAGCUACUUAUUGUUCCUGCUACUAUGCAACCUGGAGGACCAUAUCUGGAACCCAGGGAAUUCAUGGGGGCAUCUCAUAAGUGCUCCAGGAUGGGUGAAUCUGUGAAAAAGUCGACCCAAUGUGGACAUAAGUAGAGCUGAGAUCUGCAAGAGAUUGGCCAGCAGACAUGGGCGGUGCCCCACAUCAUGCCCUGCCACCCACCCUGAUUUCAGCAGCAGCAGUCUCAUGCUCAGAUGUCUCUGCUUGGGGAAACCAUGUUGUGAGCAAACCAACAGUGGGGGCCGUGUGGAGAGGAAGCCUCCUGCCAACGCCUUGCAAGUGAGCUUGCAAGUGGAUCCUCCAGCCCGAUGUCAAGAAUUCAGAGAGUAUGGCCUCAGCCAACAGCCUGAGAAACCCUGGCCCAGACCAUCCAGCCGGGUCAUCGCAGAUUCCCAACCCUCAGACAGCAUAUAAGAAAAUAAAUAUUUGCUCCUUUAAGCAGCUAAUU